GUGGAUUAGAUACCCGGGUAGUCCAUGCCGUAAACGUUGGGAACUAGGUGUGGGUCUCAUUCCACGAGAUCCGUGCCGCAGCUAACGCAUUAAGUUCCCCGCCUGGGGAGUACGGCCGCAAGGCUAAAACUCAAAGGAAUUGACGGGGGCCCGCACAAGCGGCGGAGCAUGCGGAUUAAUUCGAUGCAACGCGAAGAACCUUACCAAGGCUUGACAUACACCGGACGCAUCCAGAGAUGGGUGUUCCUUCGGGCUGGUGUACAGGUGGUGCAUGGCCGUCGCCAACU
rnacentral:rRNA from 1 species